AAAUGAAUUCUACAUUUAGCUGAGAUUGAUCGCGACUGCAUUUAUGGAGAUCAGCUUCUGGGUAAAGGGCGGUGUCAAGUUGUCUGUGCAGAGAUCUUGUAGUUGACUUGAUCUGGUUUUCACCAACGUCGCCAAUUGAUAGUAGUGCAGCCUUUGCUGUCGCAUAAGGUUCUUCUACUUAGUAUGCCGGAAGAUGCACCAGCAAAUCCCCCAAAGAAGCGCGUGAUUCAGCUACCCUCACUUC
rnacentral:lncRNA from 1 species